rnacentral:rRNA from 1 species
CCCUAGCGGUCCAAGUCGCAGCCAUCAUUAUUGGGUAUAAAACAUCCGUAGCUUGCUUAAUAAGUUCCUUGUGAAAUCUUAUAUCUUAAGUAUAAGGCGUGCAAGGGAUACUGCUAGGCUAGAGACUGGAAGACGUAAGAAGUAUGUUCAAAGUAGCGGUAAAAUGUGUUAAUCUUGAGCAGACUCACAACAGCGAAGGCAUCUUACGAGGACAGUUCUGACAGUAAAGGAUGAAGGCUAGGGGCGCAAAGUG